rnacentral:lncRNA from 1 species
UAAUACUUCAGGAUUAAUAUAUAGGGGAUUGUGUUUUGGGAUAAUGGUAUGGUAGCUUUGUGCCUUAGCCAACUCCUUCAGAUCCGAAUCAGUUUUCGAAAUUCUGAUUUAGAAAAUAACACUCUUUACCGAACAAAAAUUGAACUCAGAACAUAAAAAUACCAAACCAGUGCAAUUGUUGAGAACAGAUUUAUCCUGGAAAUCAUAUUAACUUUAAAGGAGGGGUCGUAGGGCGUAGAAUGUUAGGAUUUUCGUGAGCAAGGCUAUAGGCAUCUCGGCUGGAUGCAAAUUUAACUAUCUUGAUACAUUUAUCAGACAAUACAAUAUAGAAUCGCAAUCAAGCUUAAUAAGAAUAACUCUCUUAUUAAUCUCUUGAGGAAAAUAACUUAAAACCUCAAGCUCUCUCGUAAAAAAAAAAAAAAAAAAAUAUUUUAGAAAUAUUUGGUUUCUAAAAAAAUGGUUUUACAAUAUUUCGGAAAAUCUACGUACAUGAAUAUCUAGUAAAUUUUAAAAGUUCGACCUGAUAAUAUUGUUUAAUAUUUUUUAAACAAAGAACAAACAACAAUACAUAGUGACUAACAACUUGUUUUGUGUGUUCAAAAAAAAAAAGAAAAAAAAAGCAUACAAGAGUUUCUAGGAAAUUGCAGAAAAGGCAACUUUUGUUCAAUUAUUUGUCUUUAUAAAUGCUAAACAAGAACAUUAGUACAUAUUUUUGAACGAACAUUAUUACAUCUACGAAACUACUCAAAUAAAGAGGUAGGGUCCUUAAAAUGUGACUGUUCCCAUAAUCACAACCAUUAAGGGGGCGAUUGGUUUUCCCGCUACCACCCACAAACGCAGCUUUUGCGGUUGGUAGCGGUUGUCGGCGGUUUGCAACAAUCACUCAAAUCGCUCUAAACCGCUUCAAACCGCUCUGAAUCUCAUAAAUUCAAAAGCUGGCUCCAGCUAGCGUUUGCUGUUGCGGGC